rnacentral:rRNA from 1 species
UUUUAUGGAGAGUUUGAUCCUGGCUCAGGAUGAACGCUGGCGGCGUGCCUAAUACAUGCAAGUCGAGCGAACGGAUGAGAAGCUUGCUUCUCUGAUGUUAGCGGCGGACGGGUGAGUAACACGUGGAUAACCUACCUAUAAGACUGGGAUAACUUCGGGAAACCGGAGCUAAUACCGGAUAAUAUUUUGAACCGCAUGGUUCAAAAGUGAAAGACGGUCUUGCUGUCACUUAUAGAUGGAUCCGCGCUGCAUUAGCUAGUUGGUAA